GAUGAAGAACGUAGCUAAAUGCGAUAAGUAAUGCGAAUUGCAGAAUUUCCGUGAGUCAUCGAAUCUUUGAACGCACAUUGCGCCCACUGGUAUUCCGGUGGGCAUGCCUGUUCGAGCGUCAUUAUCCUCCCUCAAACCCCGGGUUUGGUGUUGGACCCAAGUUGUGUGAACAACUGGUCUUAAAGACAAUGACGGCGUCCGUGGGACCCUCGGUGCAACGAGCUUUUAGGAGCACGCAUCGAGUUGCAAGGACCUUCCGGGCCGGUCUCCUUUACUAUUUUACAAGGUUGACCUCGGAUCAGGUAGGAAUACCCGCUGAACUUAAGCAUAUCAAUAAGCGGAGGA
rnacentral:misc_RNA from 1 species